rnacentral:misc_RNA from 1 species
AAGAAUCGCCCCGUUUUUUGAAAUGGGUUCUAUUCCCAAACCGUGUAUACAUACCUUUGUUGCUUUGGCAGGCCGCCUUUUAGGCGUCGGCUUCGGCUGACUGCGCCCGCCAGAGGACCCCAAACCCUGAAUAUUAGUGUCGUCUGAGUACUAUAUAAUAGUUA